UUAACUACCACAACCACACAACCUCUUAGGGCCCUGUAUAGUUGGUUUUAGGUUGGGGCGACCACGGAGUACAACCAAACCUCCGCAAUGAACGGGACCACUCCCUUAUCUAAGAGCCACACCUCUAAGAAUUAAAACACUAACAUAAAAUGAUCCAUGAUCUGAUCAAUGAACCAAGUUACCCUGGGGAUAACAGCGCAAUCCAUUUCAAGAGCCCCUAUCGACAAG
rnacentral:rRNA from 1 species